rnacentral:rRNA from 1 species
UACGGGGGGGGUAAGCGUUGUUCGGAAUUACUGGGCGUAAAGGGCUCGUAGGCGGCCAACUAAGUCAGACGUGAAAUCCCUCGGCUUAACCGAGGAACUGCGUCCGAGACUGAAAGGCUUGAAUCCGGGAGAGGGAUGUGGAAUUCCAGGUGUAGCGGUGAAAUGCGUAGAUAUCUGGAGGAACACCGGUGGCGAAGGCGGCAUCCUGGACCGGCAUUGACGCUGAGGCGCGAAAGCUAGGGGAGCAAACGGG